CUGGCUCAGGAUGAACGCUAGCUACAGGCUUAACACAUGCAAGUCGAGGGGCAGCAUGACGAUAGCUUGCUAUGUCGAUGGCGACCGGCGCACGGGUGAGUAACGCGUAUCCAACCUUCCCCUUAGUAGGGCAUAGCCCGGUGAAAAUCGGAUUAAUACCCUAUGUUAUUCGUCGAGGACAUCUGAAGUGAAUCAAAGAUUUAUCGCUAAGGGAUGGGGAUGCGUCUGAUUAGGUAGUCGGCGGGGUAACGGCCCACCGAGCCAUCGAUCAGUAGGGGUUCUGAGAGGAAGGUCCCCCACACUGGUACUGAGACACGGACCAGACUCCUACGGGAGGCAGCAGUGAGGAAUAUUGGUCAAUGGGCGCGAGCCUGAACCAGCCCAAGUAGCGUGCAGGAUGACGGCCCUAUGGGUUGUAAACUGCUUUUAUACGGGGAUAAAGUGAGGGACGUGUCCCUUUUUGUAGGUACCGUAUGAAUAAGGACCGGCUAAUUCCGUGCCAGCCGCCGC
rnacentral:rRNA from 1 species